rnacentral:rRNA from 1 species
AGCAGCCGCGGUAAUUCCAGCUCCAAUAGCGUAUAUUAAAGUUGUUGCAGUUAAAAAGCUCGUAGUUGAACUUCGGGGUUUACCCAUUGGUCAGGCUUAAUUGUCUGUACUGGUGAGAUGAAUCUCUACCUUCUGAGGAACUUUUAUACCAUUUAGUUGGUGUGAUAGGAAAUCAGGACUGUUACUUUGAAAAAUUAGAGUGUUUAAAGCAGGCUAACGUCUGAAUACAUUAGCAUGGAAUAAUGAAAUAGGACGGAUUGGUUCUAUUUCGUUGGUUUCUAGGAUCACCGUAAUGAUUAAUAGGGAUAGUUGGGGGCAUUAGUAUUCAAUUGUCAGAGGUGAAAUUCUUGGAUUUAUUGAAGACUAACUACUGCGAAAGCAUUUGCCAAGGAUGUUUUCAUUAAUCAAGAACGAAAGUUAGGGGAUCGAAGACGAUCAGAUACCGUCGUAGUCUUAACCAUAAACUAUGCCGACUAGGGAUCGGAUGAUGUUAAUUUUUAAUGACUCAUUCGGCGCCUUA